rnacentral:rRNA from 1 species
GGAGUAUGGACCGUGUCUCAGUUCCAUUGUGGCCGUUCAUCCUCUCAGACCGGCUACCGAUCGUCGGCUAGGUGAGCUUUUACCUCACCUACUACCUAAUCGGACGCAGGCUCCUCGCAAAGCGAUAAAUCUUUAGUGUAAAAGUCAUGCGACCCCUACACAACAUCCGGUAUUAGCGUCCCUUUCGGAACGUUGUCCCCGUCUUUGCGGCAGAUUACCUGCGCUUUACUCACCCGUUCGCCACUAGCACCGAAGUGCCCGUUCGACUUGCAUGUGUUAAGCACGCCGCCAGCGUUCGUCCUCGAGCCACGGAGUCAAACUACU